CCUACGGGAGGCAGCAGUGGGGAAUAUUGGACAAUGGGCGCAAGCCUGAUCCAGCCAUGCCGCGUGCAGGAUGACGGUCCUAUGGAUUGUAAACUGCUUUUGUACGAGAAGAAACACUGCUUCGUGAAGCAGCUUGACGGUAUCGUAAGAAUAAGGAUCGGCUAACUCCGUGCCAGCAGCCGCGGUAAU
rnacentral:rRNA from 1 species